rnacentral:rRNA from 1 species
UACAGGGGGGGCAAGCGUUGUUCGGAAUUACUGGGCGUAAAGGGCGCGUAGGCGGCCAACUAAGUCACACGUGAAAUCCCCAGGCUUAACCUGGGAACUGCGUGUGAUACUGGAUGGCUUGAAUUCGGGAGAGGGAUGCGGAAUUCCAGGUGUAGCGGUGAAAUGCGUAGAUAUCUGGAGGAACACCGGUGGCGAAGGCGGCAUCCUGGACCGACAUUGACGCCUGAGGCGCGAAAGCUAGGGGAGGCAAAACGGG